AGAGUUUGAUCCUGGCUCAGGACGAACGCUGGCGGCGUGCCUAACACAUGCAAGUCGAGCGAGAAUUACGUAACGGAUUCCUUCGGGGAGAAGAUACGUAAGGAAAGCGGCGGACGGGUGAGUAACGCGUGAGUAACCUGCCUAUCAGAGGGGGACAACAUUUCGAAAGGGAUGCUAAUACCGCAUAACAUUGUUUUAUCGCAUGAUAGAACAAUCAAAGAUUUAUCGCUGAUAGAUGGACUCGCGUCUGAUUAGAUAGUUGGUGGGGUAAAGGCCUACCAAGUCGACGAUCGGUAGCCGAACUGAGAGGUUGAUCGGCCACAUUGGGACUGAGACACGGCCCAGACUCCUACGGGAGGCAGCAGUAGGGAAUCUUCGGCAAUGGGGGCAACCCUGACCGAGCAACGCCGCGUGAGUGAAGAAGGUUUUCGGAUCGUAAAGCUCUGUUGUAAGUCAAGAACGAGUGUGAGAGUGGAAAGUUCACACUGUGACGGUAGCUUACCAGAAAGGGACGGCUAACUACGUGCCAGCAGCCGCGGUAAUACGUAGGUCCCGAGCGUUGUCCGGAUUUAUUGGGCGUAAAGCGAGCGCAGGCGGUUUGAUAAGUCUGAAGUUAAAGGCUGUGGCUCAACCAUAGUUCGCUUUGGAAACUGUCAAACUUGAGUGCAGAAGGGGAGAGUGGAAUUCCAUGUGUAGCGGUGAAAUGCGUAGAUAUAUGGAGGAACACCGGUGGCGAAAGCGGCUCUCUGGUCUGUAACUGACGCUGAGGCUCGAAAGCGUGGGGAGCGAACAGGAUUAGAUACCCUGGUAGUCCAUGCCGUAAACGAUGA
rnacentral:rRNA from 1 species